GCCAGCACCCUGUCAAUGCCCACAGCCCGCACCGUAGAAGGUACCUGAGGGAACAAAGUGGCAAAGAAUUCACCGGAAAAUGACAUUCGAGUACUUCACAGGAAGGGUUGUUACCUGUAGUAACAGUCUCUCGUCGCCCUCGAUGACUGCCUGGUUCCACUGGAUGACAUCAGAGAAGGGUCAUCCAUGUGUGGGUAAAACCGUUACAACGCUGAAAGAACCCAAUGUUCCCCAUCAGCCCAGCAGAACAAGUCCACGCCGCCUGGCCCUGAGCGAAACCUCCAACGAGAGUGUAAACACGCUUGUAUAAAAGCAUCCAUAUUUCCAUUUAGCAGGAAGUGUGUUUAUUUACUGGAGAGCCAGUGAAAUAAACACUGCUACCGUAUAUCUUUCUGUCUUGGCACCACUCUCAAAGCACUCUGAGAAUUAAGAGCCAAUCCACCAUCUCUCUUUGCCUUGCCUUUCAAUUUUAGAUUUUUCAACAUACAUCAUCUUUGAACAUCCAAACAGAGUGCAUGUUCACAAAUAAAUAAAAAUGACAAUGAGUGCUUGUAUUAAAUUCCUGCAUAG